GAUCUCUCUCUCAGAUCUCUUCAUCAUCUUCUAACUUCUCUCUUUCUCACAGGAACAGCUAGGUUAUUAGGUUUGUAAACUAGUUCGCCGGCAACAAACCUCCUUCAACAUAAUCAUCGAACCCUUCAGGGGAAACCCUAGUUUUGCAGUCAAUCGUUUCAUUUCUCAGAUGCCCAAGCUGUUGAUUGUUGAGAUUUAUGUUUUUUGCUCUGCUUGGUUUUGUUAUCUGCUUCAAUUUGUGUCAAAGAAAAUGUCUUUUUUGUUGAAAAGUGAUUCGGAAUAUCGAUUGGAAGCGCAAGGAACAGAUCCAGUGGAAGCGCCAUUAUGGCAAGUACAAGCCCCUAAAGAAACUAAGGUUGGCGGAGGUUGAAACCGAGCAAAAGGAGCUCCAGGAGGCUAUCAAAAAUGCAAGACAAAGAGGCUUGAAUUGAAAUGUUACUGCCCUUAAUGGUGAUGUAUAACAGCUUAACCUGUAAGUCAAAACCAAGUGGUUGGAAAUCAAGUGGCCGUGACCCUUGUGGUGAUUCAAAUUGAUGGAAGUGUGCAUAUCAUAGUCUCAAAUUUGUCUUGCAAUAGAUGAGUUCAGGUAAAUCAAUGAAGACUACAAUUGAGAAAGAACACAAGGUAGAUAAGGCUGGGGAUUUGGCCCUCUCUGCUUCACUAGAGGAACACGCAGAGGCAAGUCAGGCAACUAGAGAUGAUAAUGGUGCUUCUGAUGGUGAUGAUGAAGAAGAGGAUAGGGAGGGUGUUCGUAAUUAACAUAAGUGCAACUUUUAGUAAAAUUGCAAGAUGUUUUGA